rnacentral:rRNA from 1 species
UACGGAGGGUGCGAGCGUUGUCCGGAAUCACUGGGCGUAAAGGGCGCGUAGGUGGCCUGUGGAAGUCUGCGGUGAAAGCCCGGCGCUCAACGCCGGGUCGGCCGUGGAUACUCUCGGGCUUGAGCUUACUAGAGGCAGAUGGAAUUCCGGGUGUAGCGGUGGAAUGCGUAGAGAUCCGGAAGAACACCGGAGGCGAAGGCGGCUUCCUGGACCGACACUGACGCUGAGGCGCGAAAGCUAGGGGAGCAAACGGG